AUUCCUUGUCUUUUCAUUUCAAUUCACCGUUCUAGCUUUUAUGAUACCAGUUCCCAAAACUUAUCUUUUUACUUUUGCUAUCAAUUUCUUUGAAAACCUCUCUCGUCUCUUUCAUCUCGUCUCUUCUGCUGUCAACUUGGCUGCCUUAAUCUCCGAUUUUCCUUCUCGCGACGAGCAUGGCCUGGGUCCUCCCCUUGCAGGUCUCUCGGAUUCGUAUUGCUUAUGCGUGAUCGGGACCGUCGUUGAAGUCAUCACACCGCUGAAAUCUUGUGGUAUUGUUUUCGUUGUUGAAGAACAUUUGGCAUGUAUAGGCUAUUAUAUUUUGUCGAAUUGUGGGUUGUAAACUUUAAGCCCUGUGAAAAUGGCCUAUGUGGUCGCCGAGUGGGAUGCUAGAACCUAUAGCCACGAGUCUUAGAAACUCUAAUUUUGAUAAGGUGGCCACAAUUUGUGUCAUGUAUGAUGGAUGAUUAAGGCCAAGGAAAGAUUCAUGAAAUUGGCAUAGUCUACUGCAGUAACUGUCGCGGACAGCAGCAGUGAGAUGAGAUUGAAAAAUCACUAAAAA